rnacentral:tRNA from 5 species
GCAGUUAGCUCAGUUGGUAGAGCAACGGACUCUUAAUCCGUGGGUCCAGGGUUCGAGCCCCUGACUG